rnacentral:rRNA from 1 species
AUGAACGCUGGCGGCGUGCCUAAUACAUGCAAGUCGAGCGAACAGACGAGGAGCUUGCUCCUCUGACGUUAGCGGCGGACGGGUGAGUAACACGUGGAUAACCUACCUAUAAGACUGGGAUAACUUCGGGAAACCGGAGCUAAUACCGGAUAAUAUCUUGAACCGCAUGGUUCAAUAGUGAAAGACGGUUUUGCUGUCACUUAUAGAUGGAUCCGCGCCGCAUUAGCUAGUUGGUAAGGUAACGGCUUACCAAGGCGACGAUGCGUAGCCGACCUGAGAGGGUGAUCGGCCACACUGGAACUGAGACACGGUCCAGACUCCUACGGGAGGCAGCAGUAGGGAAUCUUCCGCAAUGGGCGAAAGCCUGACGGAGCAACGCCGCGUGAGUGAUGAAGGUCUUCGGAUCGUAAAACUCUGUUAUUAGGGAAGAACAAAUGUGUAAGUAACUAUGCACGUCUUGACGGUACCUAAUCAGAAAGCCACGGCUAACUACGUG